AUCAUUUCUUGGCCUUUUGGCUAAGAUCAAGUGCAGUAUCUGUUCUUAUCAGUUUAAUAUCCCAUACGUUCUGUCUCUUAGGACAAUAUGUUACAUGGAUUUUUGGAGCAGGGAGAUGGAGUAGAAGUAGGAGUGUGGUUCCAGGCCACCCUGGGCAAAAAGAGUUUGCAAAACCCCAUUUCAAUGGCAAAAAAGC
rnacentral:snRNA from 1 species